AUUGAACGCUGGCGGCAUGCUUUACACAUGCAAGUCGAACGGCAGCGCGGGCUUCGGCCUGGCGGCGAGUGGCGAACGGGUGAGUAAUGCAUCGGAACGUGCCCAGCAGUGGGGGAUAGGCUGGCGAAAGCCGGACUAAUACCGCAUACGACCAGAGGGUGAAAGCGGGGGUCCGAAAGUGCACGCGCGAUUGGAGCGGCCGUAGACGGAUUAGCGAGUUGGUGGGGUAAAGGCUUACCAAGGCGACGAUCCGUAGCUGGUCUGAGAGGACGACCAGCCACACUGGAACUGAGACACGGCCCAGACUCCUACGGGAGGCAGCAGUGGGGAAUUUUGGACAAUGGGGGCAACCCUGAUCCAGCCAUGCCGCGUGCGGGAAGAAGGCCUUCGGGUUGUAAACCGCUUUUGUUCGGGAAGAAAUCCUCUGGGCUAAUACCCCGGGGGGAUGACGGUACCGGAAGAAUAAGCACCGGCUAACUACGUG
rnacentral:rRNA from 1 species